UACGAAGGGGGGCUAGCGUUGCUCGGAAUCACUGGGCGUAAAGCGCACGUAGGCGGAUCGUUAAGUCAGGGGUGAAAUCCUGGAGCUCAACUCCAGAACUGCCUUUGAUACUGGCGACCUUGAGUUCGGGAGAGGUGAGUGGAACUGCGAGUGUAGAGGUGAAAUUCGUAGAUAUUCGCAAGAACACCAGUGGCGAAGGCGGGUCCCCUGGACGAUACCUGACACUGAGGCACGAAAGCCAAGGGAGCAAACAGG
rnacentral:rRNA from 1 species